AUCGUUUCAACAGUAAUGAUAAUGACUAGUUUGUUUAUAUGUUACUUGGUCGUUAAUGAUUAAUGCAUUUUUUUUUUAUUUAAGGAUAUAUAGUUAUCAAAUACAGUGAAUUUCAAUUAUUCAUUAUAUUACAUAUUGGCAAAAAACACUUUGACAAUCAGGUUUUUUUAAAUAUCUAUAUUUUGCAAUUUAAACGUGUCGUCUUAUAUAUUUAUUCCACAUUAUAAAUAGCCACAAACUAUUUUCUUGUACUUACUUGAUAACAAAGGUCAAUGGUGGUUUCCUAUUUUUUUUCGUAGAAAAAAUACAGUAUUUGGCGCUAUCUCCGCUAUCCCAGCCGGAUUCAAUGAAGCGUUAAAAUAAACAAAUUACGUAGCGAACUAAAGUGACAGUGGUAGUUGCAGAUUCUGACAAGAACUAAACACAUCUAAUCAUUUAUUUGUAUUUUUUCUCAAAUCCUCGUGUACAGAUAUCGUUUUAUUAUCUCCUGGUGUGUUUUUGAAUUUGAUAAAGUGAUAAAUAACUACAUUAAAUUGCUUUAUAAUCAACAAUGAACUAUUCUAAAGAAUUAAACAAUAAGAUGCGAUACAUCACUAGUAUACGCUGGUAAAUAUCUAGGAACUGGUUGUACUCCACCACUAUCCUCAAUUCUCCUCUGCCUUAUAUCCGAAUCCCCAGGCCACGCUCUUUCCGGCCCUCCAAUCCGCUGAUACUUAUCCACAGCCAAUGAAAUUGUAGCCGGGUCAUUGACCCCAUUCGAUUUGAUCCUUCUUUGAGUGGUUGUAGAAGCCCUCAAAGUCUUCCGCUUCUGAAACGUAGACUCCUUCAAAAAUUCAAAGUCAGAGAAAAAUACCCCUCACCUCGACACAUCCACGCCAUUUAUCGGCGGCAUGUCUGGCCAAUUCCAUUCGUUUCUGUUUCUUGAUUUGGUGUUUCUUGUAAGCCAUUUCAAUGACAAUUAGACCAAUACCACCGACGAUCCCUGCGGCCACGAGGAUGAACACGCCUGCCAUGUUCUUCAAUCCAAGAGUGUUGGGUGUCUUUUCGAAUUGUUCGCAUUGUUGGACGUUGCCUUGGAGGAUCCAUUUGUUGUCCAGACUUUCCAUAAAACCACUUUCGUGGAAAUCCAGAAUGGCGAGAGUGAUGUCGUCGGCCCAGGGUGACCCUUUUUGUAACCCUAUGCCAUAACCGGAACGCCCGAAUAGUUCUCCGGCAGUUACCAAUUCACAAUCUUGAGCUGCUUCGAAUUCUAGACGCGAGCUGUCCCAUAUGAAAGCCAUCAGUUUUCUACAAAAAAAUUGUGUACCAUUCGAUUGUACMGAGUUGUAGACUCUUACCCAACUUUAACGUCUUCUAUAGCGUUCUCGGCCGUAUUAUAAUUAUUUGCUUCCAUGGUCCUGUACAUAUUUGACAGUUCAACUUGUCUGCGGAAGUACAUAUCAACAGCAGACCCUUUGACAGUAGCACACGUCAGGUUCUCCAUAGUGUUCCUCAACCUAGCAUCAUUAAUUCCAGUCAGUUUUGUUUUGGGUCUUUCCAGUACAAGAAACGCGGCUAGAUUAGCAGUAUACGAGGCUACAAUAAUCAUCGCGAAACCUGCCCAAACCAUUCCUAAAACUCUUGCAGAGAAACUUCGAGGUGUCCCUUCACCAAUCCCACUGUUAAGUAGGACUCCCCAAGCAAACCAAAUCGCACUUGAGAGAUUAAGAGCGUCUUCUUCGGUUCCAUCAGUGUUUGCCAGUUUGAACCUCCCAAACGGCGAAAACCGGUCUAGGAGGUACAACACUAGAGCCACAACAUGGACGGAAACCAUCACCAAGAUCCACAAAGUGUUACUGAAAGGUUGCAAGAACGAUACAAGUGUGGAUGAUCGGGAUGGUUUCUUUUCUAAAAUUGUGAUUCCUUGGUAUUUGAACGGUUUACUAAACUCAAUGAAUUCAGCCCGUUCUGGGUUGAUGGUCAAGGGGGCCACUAUCAUAUCAGCUCUUUCACCCACCAAUUCGCCUAUCAGACCCGUCCAUUCCUUUUUGCCACUCCCAGAACUGUUCCUAAUGAUGUAAUUGCCGAAUUGGCCGUCCGGGGACAAAGCCAAACUGUAGGUAAAGUUAAUUUUCUUUGACAAUUCCUUGAGGAGGUCCAUACAAUAGCCUUUGCAACAGAAACUCCCGGUCACUGGAAGGCGGAGUUAUGAAACAGUGGGAGGAGUUACAACUUACAGUCUUGUGUCGCGUUGAAGUGAGGACAAGGAAUUUCAUCAGCAGUACACACAUCCUGAGGUUCUACCAACUUACGGACGUAAACGAACGGUUUUUCUUCGAUUGUCAAAACCUUAAGGUGUGUCGGAAUCAUGAAACCUUCAGGUUUGACGUGUUGACGGCCCGGCCACAAAAUAUUGUUCUCAUCAACCACCAAACGCAUUUUAUUGCUUGUCUGUAAGAAGAAAAUAAUCAGAUUUUUGGGUCAAUUAGUGGAGGCACCAACCCUAUUGAAGAAAAAUUUGCCGACAGUCACUUGUUUACGUUUCCUCUGGAUGUUGACAAUGUUAUAUUCGGCGUUAAUUCGGUCACCUUGGUCGUCAAAAGCCACCUUUCCUGUCUCACCAUUGAGUAGCACUUGUUUUUUGAUAAAGUCGAAGAGGUCACGACCGGUUUCCCAGAUUUGGCCCGAAUCGUCGCAAUCUUUUGGCGCUUCGGUGAUUUCUUUUGUUUGGUUUAGGUCACGUAAAGCCGAAGCUAGGACAUAACUUAAAAAAAAAAUAAAGUUUGGUAUUAGUGUGAGGGGAAACACUCACAUGCUAUCUUUAAUGUGAGCUUUUUCAUUGGUCGCAUUGACUAGACGUAGACCUAAGAUUCCUUCAGGGAUGUUAUUGGCUACAAGGGCUUGCUCUGUGACGAUCCAUGCAUAUCCAGCGUCUGUCAUAUUAAACUCUGCAGCGUCUCGGAAAAUGACUUGAGCAUCAGUUUUACUACAAACUCAAAUGAAAGUUAUGGAAAAAAUUGCUAGUGAUUACUACCUAGCAUACAUCAGGUAGACUCUAGAUUGAGCGUUUUUCAUGUCGCUCAGUUGCUCUUUAAAGUUUUCCAAACCUGGCUCAAAUUCUAUUAUCGACUCAACUUGAACUUUAAUCUCAACAUCGUCUUCUAGACUUUGAGAAGUGGUUUGGAACCUUCCUAAUAGAGCUCGUCCGUCAGUGUCCGAACUGUGGAUAAAAAUGACUUUCUUGUAGUUGAAGUGUUUGAGCAUUUCGACCCAAACAUCCGCCUGGUGGGAAUACGGAGGAACAGUCCUCAAGAAGGACACAUGAAUGUUCUGGAAUAUUUAAGUCAAGUCAAACUAUCGGACCGAAUUUGACUCACUUUGUCCGAAAAAGCUGAAUCCCGACUCGAGAUACCAAUGACCGGAAUGUGGUAAAAACCACUAGUGUACGACACCGCAGCUGGUGACAAGUCUCCAGUCAAAGGAUGUGACACCACCACAGCAUAUACCCGACUUGUAAUCAAAUAUUUGCAAACAUUAAGCGCGGUUUUGAUUGGAUUUGGAUCCAUGAGAAUCGCAGUGUCGUAAUAAGUGACUCCUUUUGGGACAUACUGGGAGUCGAAGUUCAAAUGCUAGAAUUCAUUUGUUUAUCUUUUGAUCUUAACUCGGCAACGACUUACCGCAAUUGUCUCUUUGAAGUAGUAUUCACUUUCAUUGCUACUUAACACACCCCCGAUAUUAAAAACCGUGGGGUUACUAGAUGACCAUAGGUCACCUCGAACUGUUAGCCAAUUUAAUGCAAAAAUCACGUAAACAAACAUUGUUUAAAAGGAGAGCCUCAUCUCGUGCGAAUAUGGACCGCGCCCGUUGCCAAGACGACGCCAGAUGAUAUCGAUUUCAAAUGACCUGCCUUAACUCACCACACGUACCCCCCUUGAAAGCAAAAGAAAUACAAAUCGUGAUUUAAUUGUCAUUAUACUGGAUAAUCGUCAAAAUUUAUUUCAACAAAUAUUUUUAUUGUUUGACUUUGGUAAUUGUUGGUCUUAUAACAUUUUCAAAUAAACCUGUAUGCAAUUUUAAAACAGCUUUUCAAAGAUUUUAUCUGUUGUUACAUACUCCCGUUUCUUGUGGGUUCGACAUCUAGUGGAUGUUGUAAAUAAUUGACUGUGCACCUUAAGAUGACAACCCGCGGCCCACCUAAUUUUUUAAUUCUGCCCAUGAUGGCUUCUUUUACUCAACUUGGGAAAUGUUUCUACCUUUUGGUUUUUACCCUUUUCGACAUAUUUUCUCCUAUGUACUGCACUUGAGAUGCCACGACCACAGUCACCUUUUUCUCGGAGGAAUAGCGGUUCCAAUAGAAGAAAUAUAUUAAGGCAUGCAACCCAUAUUAGGAUUCCCAUGAGAAUGUCUCUGAAGAAUAAAAGAUGACGAAAGGCUUUGCUUCCAGCAAGCUGGAGUAUAAAACCCUUGAGGACGCGACUCCAGUUAGCACUCUAUCCGUCGAAGUUUGAAUCAAGUAAAUGUUGCAAUAUGUAUAAUGGGUUGCGGCAAAAAAUCAGAAGUACCUCACUCAUGAAUAACCCUGUACAUACAGGGUUAGUCACAGGAGAGUUACUUCUGAAAUAAUUUGGGCAGCAACCCAUUAUACAAUUCACAUAGGCGUCUAGCUUCCUCAUUUUUAAAAAUCAUAAAAUUGAAUCCAAGAAUACUUUGCAUAUUUUUCAAUUUGACAUUUAAAAAGUAACAGUCAAUUUUCGUUAAUACAAUGUAUUAUUACACAAAUAACGAAAAAGUGGGCAUGCUCUUAAUCCAUAGAGAAUGCAAGAAAAAUGCUCCUGUGGCAGCAGCUCUGAACUUGGAGAGGUAUCCAAAUCGAAUAACAUUUCGAAAACUGGAAGCCAAGUUACUACAAGAUUGGUCCCCAAGUCUUUGGAGCAGUAGACAAUUACUUGUCAUUUUGACGACUUCACUCAUUUUCAUCCAGCUCACAUUGAUUACUGAAUUAAUUUAAAUAAAAUAUUAUAUCCAGUUACAUACGCUAAAGGUAUUUUUGGUUGCAAACUAAUUAAGUUUCAAAGUAACUCUCCUGUGACUGACCCUGUAUUAUGUCUUAUGUCUGAUUUUUUAAUACUUUUUUUCUUUUAUGUAUUUUGUAAAACAUCUAAAUAAACCUUCUUUUUUAAGUUCA